CACUUUGGUGUGCUCAGAUUGAUGGUUGGCUCCAAACUUCAUAUCCAUAACACAUCUUAACUCCAUCAUAUAUAUAAGGCAAUUGAAUCACAGGACCUAGAUCACUGACAACAAAUUCUUUCAAGAAUACAUCAAAGCCAUUUCUGGAAUAGAAACCUGUAUCUGGAAAGUCAGAUAUGUCAAGUAUUGGCCAAGUGUGACCCAGGAUAUUGGAGACCUGGAGGAAGAUUGAGAGCAACACCCAAGUAAGAGCCCAGGUGAACACUGCAUUGAAGCUAUACUACAGCAGCAUAAAUCACUGCGGGACAGAAGAAAAGAAAGUAAAUCGGACCAAAAAACUUCACUGCCAAUAUGGAAAUCCCCCAUAUUACCUGAAGUUUGGAAUCUGAAGAGAACAUCUCAUCUGUAUUUCUCCAAACCCAAGUGCAAGCAUACAGCAGAUAGAGCGUGUUUCUUCUUGUGAGACAAAAAUUUCAGAAGAAAGCACCGAUUGCAGAUUAAGAUUUCAUUUAAUGAUUAAUGUUCUCCUCUUUGUUGAAUUUCCAGCAUGUUUGUUUUAUUCCAGUUCUGUACCUGUAGCUACAACUUACUAUAACUCCCAUAACAACAUCUUUAACCAAGGAUGCACUACAAAUUCUUCUAGAUCAUUAUUCAAGCUUGUUUAAACCAUUAGUUUUAAUAAUGUAUACACUGCUGUGCAAGUGAAGUGUCAAAUAAUUAAAGAGAUUUACUACUGAUAAGGGAUUUGGCACCGUCCUUUGUAGAUGACAACUCUGAGGAAUUGUCACAGAUUGAAGUGUCAUUAGAGGAGGUUUUGGAAUUAAUUGAUAAACUUAACAGUAACAAGUCACCAGGACCAGAUGGCAUUCACCCAAGAGUUCUGAAAGAACUCAAAUGUGAAAUUGCGGAACUGUUAACUAUGGUUUGUAACCUGUCCUUUAAAUCAUACAGACUGGUAAGUCUAACAUCAAUACCGGGCAAAUUAGUUGAAAUAAUAGUAAAGACUAAAAUUGUCAGACGCAUAGAAGAACAUAAAUUGUUGGGCAAAAGUCAACAUGGUUUCUGUAAAGGGAAAUCAUGUCUUACUAAUCUAUUAGAGUUCUUUGAGGGGGUCAACAAACAUGUGGACAAGGGGGA